CGGAGACUGCAAGCGUUAUUCGGAUUCACUGGGCGUAAAGGGUGCGCAGGCGGCCAAGUGUGUUAGGCGUGAAAGCCCGGGGCUUAACCCCGGAAUUGCACCUAAAACUACAUGGCUAGAGCAUUGGAGAGGGUAGCGGAAUUCACGGUGUAGCAGUGAAAUGCGUAGAUAUCGUGAGGAACACCAGAGGCGAAGGCGGCUACCUGGACAAUUGCUGACGCUCAGGCACGAAAGCGUGGGGAGCAAAAGGGAUUAGAUACCCCUGUAGUCCACGCCCUAAACGGUGCACACUAGGUCUUGGCGGAUUCGACCCCACCAGGGCCCAAGCUAACGCGUUAAGUGUGCCGCCUGAGGACUACGGUCGCAAGACUA
rnacentral:rRNA from 1 species